rnacentral:lncRNA from 1 species
AUGAAUGAAAGACCCUACUCACAGCAAGAGAGCUUUUCUAGGAGUAUAUUGCAUAUUGGCUGUUUUCCCAGCCCUGGGAAGUCUUUCAGAAGCAUGCUGUGGCACAUUUCGGUUAGUUUUAGUGAAUUGCAGUGUACAAGCUGGGUUCUUUCUCCUGAAGUGCUGAUGCUGCAGCAUUCCCGUCAGACCGCAGGCAGCAAGCAUCUUUCUGCUAUUUCUCUAUGUGGGCACAUACAGACCUGGGUCUUGGAGAAUUUACAGCAGCUUCAGCUUUGUAACCUACAGUGCAAGGGGAAUGCCUGCCUGCACGGAGCAAGCGUCCGACCGCACAGCUGUGCUCUGGUGCUGUGUCCAGGAAUCAGGUGUCUCCCAGUGGGGAACCCACGCUCCUCGCACGAGCUUCUCCUGCGGCUGUGAAGCAGCCCUGCCGGUGAAGGCUUCUCCAUGUGUGCAGAUGAGAAAAUGAAAGCUGCCUGUAAAGGAUUCCCAUUCAUCAUGAAAAACCCACCAUACCAUGGGACAGCUGCUUGCCUGGGAUCUGUAUCUCAGAUGUGAGGAACCAGAACAGACACAUGCUGUGUUGUACAAAGACCGUAACCCAAGGGACAGGUAAAUCAUUCUUUAUAAGGAAAAAAACGUCAUAAGGAAUUAACGUUUUCUAUAAAAGAGACUUUUCAGGUUUUGCUCACCAUUUGACAUAAUCAAAAACAUGGCUUGAAAUGCAUAAAUUAUGGAUUUUUAUAUGCUAGUGCUCUAGUAACAUCCUCUGGAGAUGGAUUUGGCACUACUGCAAGCAUGGCUGGAUAGCCAGCAGGGGCUGCUUUGGCAAGGAGCACCCCGGCUGUCGCACCGUAGCUGGAAAGUGAAGCAGGUGGCAAAAGCUUCCUGGGAGAGGCUGGGACCAGAGCCUGUACCACCUUCAUGCCAC